UCUCUUUACAGAAAGCAGAAACAGGCAAUGUGAAGGAUAAAAAGCAAAUCUCCUACUGCCCCAGCGCCAUUCCACUGGAACUAAGGUCCUGCUUUCAUUUUCUUUUUCACUAUGCUUAGCACGCUUCUUUUAGAACAAACAAUCACAUGCAGUCCCUGGAGUUACAAGAGAGACUGUAAACCUUGGAAGUCCAUAGGUUGGAGAAAGCCAAAAGAGACAUCUGAAAUGGUGGAUGACAUGACAGAAGAAUGUGUGGAAGACGCCAACCACAGGCUACGACUUCCCUUCAUUAGAAACUUAAAACUUCCCUUCAUUAGUCUCAAGAUAUUGAACCCACCAUGCAAGAUGGACAAUAAUACCCCUCCAAGGUGGUGCCCAGCAGCCCAAUUAUUUCCACUAAUUCCUACCUCCUAAAGCUCACACCUUUCCUAACACUUGUAUUUGGGACUAAACUUCCAGCACACAAGGGGCUAAGGCUGUCUAAGAGCUAUGAAUGUAUGUCCUGGAAGAACUGUGUUUCUGAAGUGUUUUCAAUUUCCUUCUGGGAAAUUUUAUAUGGCUCUCAAUGUAAAUAAGUAAAAAUCAAUAAAUAUCAAUAGAUAAA